AUUCCAGCUCCAAUAGCGUAUAUUAAAGUUGUUGCAGUUAAAAAGAUAAAUAGUUGGAUUUGUGGGGGAGCCUCUGGUCCAUUUUGGUUCUAGGAGGUACCGCCAUCCUUGGGUGGAACCUGUGUGGCAUUAGGUUGUUGUGCAGGGGAUGCUCAUCAUUUACUGUGAAAAAAUCAGUGCGUUCAAAGCAGGCUUACGCCGUUGAAUGUAUUAGCAUGGAAUAAUAAGAUAGGACCUUGGUACUAUUUUGUUGGUUUGCGCACCGAGGUAAUGGUUAAUAGGGACAGUUGGGGGUAUUCGUAUUCCAUUGUCAGAGGUGAAAUUCUUGGAUUUCUGGAAGACGAACUACUGCGAAAGCAUUUACCAAGGAUGUUUUCUUUUAUCAAGAACAAAAGUUAGGGGAUCGAAGAUGAUUAGAUACCAUCGUAGUCGUC
rnacentral:rRNA from 1 species